rnacentral:rRNA from 1 species
AGUGAACGCUGGCGGUAGGCCUAACACAUGCAAGUCGAACGGCAGCACAGUAAGAGCUUGCUCUUACGGGUGGCGAGUGGCGGACGGGUGAGGAAUACAUCGGAAUCUACUUUUUCGUGGGGGAUAACGUAGGGAAACUUACGCUAAUACCGCAUACGACCUACGGGUGAAAGCAGGGGAUCUUCGGACCUUGCGCGAUUGAAUGAGCCGAUGUCGGAUUAGCUAGUGGGCGGGGUAAAGGCCCACCAAGGCGACGAUCCGUAGCUGGCCUGAGAGGAUGAUCAGCCACACUGGAACUGCGACAAGGUCCAGACUCCUACGGGAGGCAGCAGUAGGGAAUAUUGGACAAUGGGCGCGAGCCUGAUCCAGCCCUACCGCGUGGGUGAAGAAGGCCUUCGGGUUGUAAAGCCCUUUUGUUGGGAAAGAAAAGCAGCAGGUUAAUACCCCGCUGUUCUGACGGUACCCAAAGAAUAAGCACCGGCUAACUUCGUG